AGAGUUUGAUCAUGGCUCAGGACGAACGCUGGCGGCGUGCUUAACACAUGCAAGUCGAACGGAAAGGCCCUUCGGGGUACUCGAGUGGCGAACGGGUGAGUAACACGUGGGUGAUCUGCCCUGCACUUUGGGAUAAGCCUGGGAAACUGGGUCUAAUACCGAAUAGGACCACGCGCUUCAUGGUGUGUGGUGGAAAGCUUUUGCGGUGUGGGAUGGGCCCGCGGCCUAUCAGCUUGUUGGUGGGGUAAUGGCCUACCAAGGCGACGACGGGUAGCCGGCCUGAGAGGGUGACCGGCCACACUGGGACUGAGAUACGGCCCAGACUCCUACGGGAGGCAGCAGUGGGGAAUAUUGCACAAUGGGCGCAAGCCUGAUGCAGCGACGCCGCGUGAGGGAUGACGGCCUUCGGGUUGUAAACCUCUUUCAAUAGGGACGAAGCGCAAGUGACGGUACCUAUAGAAGAAGCACCGGCCAACUACGUGCCAGCAGCCGCGGUAAUACGUAGGGUGCGAGCGUUGUCCGGAAUUACUGGGCGUAAAGAGCUCGUAGGUGGUUUGUCGCGUUGUUCGUGAAAUCUCACGGCUUAACUGUGAGCGUGCGGGCGAUACGGGCAGACUUGAGUACUGCAGGGGAGACUGGAAUUCCUGGUGUAGCGGUGGAAUGCGCAGAUAUCAGGAGGAACACCGGUGGCGAAGGCGGGUCUCUGGGCAGUAACUGACGCUGAGGAGCGAAAGCGUGGGGAGCGAACAGGAUUAGAUACCCUGGUAGUCC
rnacentral:rRNA from 1 species